rnacentral:rRNA from 1 species
UACGAAGGGGGCUAGCGUUGCUCGGAAUUACUGGGCGUAAAGCGCACGUAGGCGGUCUUUUAAGUCGGGGGUGAAAUCCUGGAGCUCAACUCCAGAACUGCCUUCGAUACUGGAUGGCUAGAGUUUGGGAGAGGGAUGCGGAAUUCCAGGUGUAGCGGUGAAAUGCGUAGAUAUCUGGAGGAACACCGGUGGCGAAGGCGGCAUCCUGGACCAACACUGACGCUGAGGAGCGAAAGCCAGGGGAGCAAACGGG